rnacentral:rRNA from 1 species
UACGUAGGUGGCAAGCGUUGUCCGGAUUUAUUGGGUUUAAAGGGUGCGUAGGUGGCUAUCUAAGUCAGUGGUGAAAUAUCUCAGCUUAACUGAGAGGGUGCCAUUGAUACUGGAUAGCUUGAGUACAGAUGAGGUAGGCGGAAUUGACGGUGUAGCGGUGAAAUGCAUAGAUAUCGUCAAGAACACCGAUAGCGAAGGCAGCUUACCAAGCUGUAACUGACACUGAGGCACGAAAGUGUGGGGAGCGAACAGG